AUUGAACGCUGGCGGCAGGCCUAACACAUGCAAGUCGGGCGGAGGAUGGGAGCUUGCUCCUGGAUUCAGCGGCGGACGGGUGAGUAAUGCCUAUGAAUCUGCCUGGUCGUGGGGGAUAACGUCCGGAAACGGGCGCUAAUACUGCAUACGUCCUGUGGGCGGAAGAGGGUGGUCCUCGGACCUCACGCUAUCAUAUGAGCCUAGGUCGGAUUAGCUAGUUGGUGGGGUAAAGGCCUACCAAGGCGACGAUCCGUAACUGGUCUGAGAGGAUGACCAGUCACACUGGAAGUGAGACACGGUCCAGACUCCUACGGGAGGCAACGGUGGGGAAUAUUGGACGAUGGGCGAAAGCCUGAUCCAGCCAUGCCGCGUGUGUGAAGAAGGUCUUCGGAUUGUAAAGCACUUUAAGUUGGGGGGAAGGGCAGUAAGUUAAUACCUUGCUGUUUUGACGUUACCAACAGAAGAAGCACCGGCUAACUUCGUG
rnacentral:rRNA from 1 species